rnacentral:lncRNA from 1 species
AGAUGCCUAAGCUUAUGAGGAAGCUGCAAACUGCGACUAAAAAUUCUCACUUCAGGGUAUUUCUUUUUACAAUUUACUGCGCAGGAUACAUAUCCUUCGCCAUUAACAUUCUUUUCCUCUCAGGUACUCUCUCUCUCUCGAUCUCAGAGAGGAAACGAGGCAGCCACGGCCUCCUUGCCCCCCCCCCUUCUCUCCCUCUCUCCCGUGCCUCCGCGCUACUGCAGUACUCCCGCGCUGCACACCGCUGCUGCUCCCCAACCACGGCGCUAUGAUGGUGCUUGCUCGCCUGGUCGCCGCCUCGUCUCGCCCAAUCUUGAUAUAGUCCGGGGCGGCGCCGGCACCGCUCGACCGCGUCGUUGCCUCCUCUGCGUCAUGAGAAGCGCCACCAUUGCCUCCACCCCCACUGGGCAAGGAGCU